UACGUAGGGUGCGAGCGUUAAUCGGAAUUACUGGGCGUAAAGGGCGCGUAGGCGGUCCCUCAAGUCAGGCGUGAAAGCCCCGGGCUCAACCUGGGAACCGCGCUUGAGACUGAUGGGCUAGAGUUCGGGAGAGGAUGGUGGAAUUCCCAGUGUAGAGGUGAAAUUCGUAGAUAUUGGGAAGAACACCGAUGGCGAAGGCAGCCAUCUGGACCGACACUGACGCUGAGGCGCGAAAGCGUGGGGAGCAAACAGG
rnacentral:rRNA from 1 species